AAUCGAUUUCUUCGGAAUGAAGUUUUAGUGACUGAGUGGCGGACGGGUGAGUAACGCGUGGGUAACCUGCCUUGUACAGGGGGAUAACAGUUAGAAAUAGCUGCUAAUACCGCAUAAGCGCACGGUUCCGCAUGGAACAGUGUGAAAAACUCCGGUGGUGUGAGAUGGACCCGCGUCUGAUUAGCCAGUUGGCAGGGCAACGGCCUACCAAGGCGACGAUCAGUAGCCGACCUGAGAGGGUGACCGGCCACAUUGGGACUGAGACACGGCCCAAACUCC
rnacentral:rRNA from 1 species